AUUGAACGCUGGCGGCAGGCCUAACACAUGCAAGUCGAGCGAGCGGCGGACGGGUGAGUAAUGUAUGGGGACUCCCCGAUAGAGGGGGAUAACUCCUGGAAACGGUAGCUAAUACCGCAUACUACCGGAUAACCCAUAGGGGGUUAGCUAGGAGGUGGGGUAAGGGCUCACCUAGGCGACGAUCCCUAGCUGGGCUGAGAGGAUGAUCAGCCAAACUGGGACUGAGACACGGUCCAGACUCCUACGGAGGCAGCAGUGGGGAAUAUUGCACAAUGGGCGCAAGCCUGAUGCAGCCAGGCCGCGUGUAUGAAGAAGGCCCUAGGGUUGUAAAGUACUUUCAGUCGGGAGGCGUUACCGACAGAAGAAGCACCGGCUAACUCCGUGCCAGCAGCCGCGGUAAUUC
rnacentral:rRNA from 1 species